AUUGAACGCUGGCGGCAGGCUUAACACAUGCAAGUCGAGCGGAGCGAGGGUGCUUGCACCUUAGCUUAGCGGCGGACGGGUGAGUAAUGCUUAGGAAUCUGCCUAUUAGUGGGGGACAACAUUCCGAAAGGAAUGCUAAUACCGCAUACGCCCUACGGGGGAAAGCAGGGGAUCUUCGGACCUUGCGCUAAUAGAUGAGCCUAAGUCGGAUUAGCUAGUUGGUGGGGUAAAGGCCUACCAAGGCGACGAUCUGUAGCGGGUCUGAGAGGAUGAUCCGCCACACUGGGACUGAGACACGGCCCAGACUCCUACGGGAGGCAGCAGUGGGGAAUAUUGGACAAUGGGCGGAAGCCUGAUCCAGCCAUGCCGCGUGUGUGAAGAAGGCCUUUUGGUUGUAAAGCACUUUAAGCGAGGAGGAGGCUACUUUAGUUAAUACCUAGAGAUAGUGGACGUUACUCGCAGAAUAAGCACCGGCUAACUCUGUGCCAGCAGCCGCAGUAAUAC
rnacentral:rRNA from 1 species